rnacentral:tRNA from 1 species
GAAAAUAUAGCUCAGUGGCAAAAGCACUUGCCUGGUAAGUGUGAGGUCAUGAGUUCAAUCCCCAUUACCACCA